rnacentral:sRNA from 1 species
UGUAUCUGAAGUCUGACGAGGAUGAGAACCUCCGGGGGCAAGAGGUUCGACUCGAGCGAAGCGAGAGAACGUUGCGCCAGCAACGGCCCGCAGGGCGAGCCACGCAGUGGCGAGUCAUCCUUUAUCACCGGCAG